rnacentral:lncRNA from 1 species
ACACCCUCGGAUUGACGUGCGCACGCGCACCGGUUACCUUCAGGAGCGCCGAAGAAGGAAAGAAGAACACAGAGCCCGAGGCAAAGCUUAAGUGCUUACGCUUUUGUCGGGAGGUACAGACCCAGCUCUGCGAGAGCCAGGGGAAAAGGAAGAGAGGCAGGGAAGGAAUGGCAGCAAGUACAAGGUGAUGAAUGACUGCACUGGCCAUUGCUUCAUGAAGAGCCACGAAAAAACAGAGCCGGUUUCUCAGCAGGUGGCUGGCUGCUCAGUCACAAAGGACCUCUUUGGACAGGCUUUAUGGAAAUACUGUGCCUAGGACAGUCGCUCAAAGGCAGGAGGGAGAGAAAAUGCAUCUGCAAGCUCACUUUGUCUUCUUUCUUCUGCUGGUCAAAAUUUGCUGGCUGGGGCAGUUAACGCCCUCACACAUCCGAGUUGUGUCACCUGGCCCCUUUGGUAGCCACUGGGGAAGCCAGAUCUAGGCAUGUGGCCUGAUGGCUCCUGCGGUGGAACCACAUGCUCACACUCAGUCAGUCACCACUGGGAUGCCCUGGGCAGGGCAGGCUGAGUGGCUGGGAGAUAGCUGAGCCUAAGAUAUCUAAGCAAGCACCUGUGAUGUAUGCACUGCAGUGUCCAAAUGUGAAAAAGCAAGAAAGGGAGAUAGAAGCAUAUUUUUUUCUGGAGAGAAGGAGGAAACCACCAGGAGAAUACAAACAGAAAAAAGACAUGCUCAUCAUGCCCUGCAAACUCCUAUGAACUGGAACUACAGCAGCUGUUCUGCCAGGGACAGGUUCUUCUCUAAAGUUCCAGCUCUCUGGAGGGAGAAAGCCCUGACUUUGGAUGGAGUUGAGCUCUGUCGCCCAGGCUGGAGUGCAGUGGCACCAUCUCAGCUGACUGUGACCUCCGCCUCCUGGGUUCAAGUGAUUCUCCUGCAUCAGCCUCCCGAGUAGCUGGGACUACAGGUGCACACCACCAUGCCCGGCUAAUUUUUGUAUUUUUAGUAGAGACGGGGUUUUGCCAUGAUGGCCAGGUUUGGUCUCAAACUCCUAACCUCAAGUGAUCCACCCUCCUCAGCCUCCCAAAGUGCUGGGAUUACAGGCGUGAGCCACUGCGCCCCGCCUACUUGAAUUUUUUUUUUUUUUUUUUUUUUUGAGACAGAGUUUUGCUCCUGUUGCCCAGGCUGGAGUGCAACGGCAUGAUCUCGACUCACUGCAACCUCUGCCUCCUGGGUUCAAGUGAUUCUCCUGCCUCAGCCUCCCAAAUAGCUGGGAUUACAGGUGCCCACCACUGUGCCUGGCUGAUUGUAUUUUUAGUAGAGAUGGGGUUUCAUCAUGUUGGUCAGGCUGGUCUUGAACUCCAGACCUCAGGUGAUCGGACUGCCUCGGCCUCCCAAAGUGCUGGGAUUACAGGCAUGACCCACUGUGCCCGGACCUGCUUGAAUUUUUAUGAUGAGCAUGUUGGCAGAUCACGACUGCCAGCUCCGUGACAGCAAGAACCUUGUAUGACUUUUUCAUGAUGGAUGUUCAUCUGUGCCAUCUGUAAAUAUUGAAUAAAUAUUUGUGGAAUACAUGAAUCUAAAAGUGAAUGGAAUGAUAAAGAGGGAAAGGGUCAUGACAUCUACUACAGCAUUUGGCACAGACCCAGCUGUCUGCAGUACUAUCAAGAGAUGACAUGGACUUCAAGGAUCAAACAGGGGAGAAAAAGGCUUAAAAGAAAAACAAGUCUCCAUCAAAGGUAAUAACCACAAUGAGAACUAUACAUAGCUAUGUGCUUAUAGGUCUUAGUUCACAUUCCCCUCAUUAAAAUUAUAGCUCAAGAAAUAAAGGGCUGUUUAAUGACUUGGGUAUAUAAAUAUACUUCAUUUGUAUAUUUUUUACUUGCUAAAAUCUAUCCAAAUUGGUAUUACCUCAAACCAUAAUCUUCUACUGUAUUUUAUAAUUUUACUUUAUUGCCAUGUAUUUUUCCCACUGAUGUUCACAAAUUCACAGGAAACAUCAGCCAUGUACUAAAUAAAAUAUGAAUUGAAUCG